UCACACACAUCCAGGUGUUUACACUGAACAGGAUCACACACACCCAGGUGUUUACACUGAACAGGAUCACACACACCCAGGUGUUUACACUGAACAGGAUCACACACACCCAGGUGUUUACACUGAACAGGAUCAAGAGACACAGGUGUUUACACUGAACAGGUGGACGUUUAGGAUCACACACCCAGGUGUUUACACUGAACAGGUGCACUUUCAGGAUCACAGAGACCCAGGUGUUUACACUGAACAGGAUCACAGAGACCCAGGUGUUUACACUGAACAGGAUCACACACACCCAGGUGUUUACACUGAACAGGAUCACAGAGACCCAGGUGUUUACACUGAACAGGAUCACAGAGACCCAGGUGUUUACACUGAACAGGAUCACACACACCCAGGUGUUUACACUGAACAGGUGGACGUUUAGGAUCAAACACACCCAGGUGUUUACACUGAACAGCUAGACUUUUAGGAUCACAGAGACCCAGGUGUUUACACUGAACAGCUGGACCUUUAGGAUCAAACACACCCAGGUGUUUACACUGAACAGCUGGAUGUUUAGGAUCACACACACCCAGGUGUUUACACUGAACAGCUGGACCUUUAGGAUCACAGAGACCCAGGUGUUUACACUGAACAGGAUCACACACACCCAGGUGUUUACACUGAACAGGAUCACACACACCCAGGUGUUUACACUGAACAGGUGCACUUUAAGGAUCACACACACCCAGGUG